rnacentral:lncRNA from 1 species
UCCCUCUUUCAUCCCUAUCUGCGAUUUUGUACUGGAAAAAUAGCCUUCCAUGGACGUCUUAACUGAAGGGCAAAACCUGAAGAAGUCCAGGGCCAAAACUCAUUCAAGUCUCCUCUUGUCAGGGUCUUCUGCCUGCCAACAAAAAUAUCAGUCCCCCUGUGUUUGAGAGUUUAACUGCUGUCUCUUCCAGCAGUUUCUGGAGCAUUUGUUUUUGGGUUGGUUGUCAACACCUGCUCGUGCAGUUGAUAUCAUGGCAACUCCCAAGCCUUGCAGAUGGGGGCACAUCUUCAACAUCAUCUGCAAAACUUCAUACCAUAACAAAUGAAGCAGACUCGCACCUUUGCCAUUCACCUAAGAUUCAUGAUGCAAUUUCAGCCAAUCUUGCUGUGUGGGAAAAGAGAAUACCCUAACAGUGAGGAUGGAGAAUACAUAGAAGAAUAAAGCACUGCAGGCUAUAUCUGAUCACAAAGUUGACACCACCACCACUUCACAGGAACUUUUCCUAUUUAGAAAAAGAAAGCAAAUAAAACAGUGUAUAGAAAUCA